GAUGAACGCUAGCGGGAGGCUUAAUACAUGCAAGUCGAGGGGUAACGAUGGACUUCGGUUCAGGCGACGACCGGCGCACGGGUGAGUAACGCGUACACAACCUACCUAUAACAGAGGGAUAGCCCUGGGAAACUGGGAUUAAUACCUCAUAGUAUUACUAAUUUGAUUUAUAAGUAAUUAAAGCUCCGGCGGUUAUAGAUGGGUGUGCGUUAGAUUAGCUAGUUGGUAAGGUAAUGGCUUACCAAGGCGACGAUCUAUAGGGGGCGUGAGAGCGUGAACCCCCACACGGGUACUGAGACACGGACCCGACUCCUACGGGAGGCAGCAGUAAGGAAUAUUGGACAAUGGGCGCAAGCCUGAUCCAGCCAUCCCGCGUGAAGGAUGACUGCCCUAUGGGUUGUAAACUUCUUUUAUCAGGGAAGAAACCCUUUCAUUUAUGAGAGGCUGACGGUACCUGAAGAAUAAGCACCGGCUAACUCCG
rnacentral:rRNA from 1 species